CUCCUGUUAGCUCAAUGGAUAGAGCAGUAGCCUUCUAAGCUAUAGAUAUAGGUUCGAUUCCUAUACGGGAGACAA
rnacentral:tRNA from 1 species